CCAAGCAUACAAUGAAUUCAAGUUAGUGUGUUCCAGAGAUUAUGCAAUCUCAUUCCAACCUACUUUCUUCAUUUCCAUCAGCGACUUAGAAAUCUAGCACAGCUCUGUGGAGCCCUCGUUUCAUGUUAAGCCGUUAGCCAUGCUUUGGCUUUCCAGUAUUUGGUUCCAGGGAGCAAAUAUGCUGUAGGAUCAUGUGAAAGAUGCAUGUUUUCACAGACUCACAUCCAACACACAUUCAAAAUCUGAGAUGUGGGAGAAAGAGGCAGUGAGCCAAUGGGUACACAUCCUUGUCUGGGCCAAGGAUGGGGGCCAGCUUUUAUUUUGAAGGAGAGUCUUUUAAAAAGACUAAAUAAAGGAAAUAGAAGAAAAUGUUGGUUUUAUGGAUAUAUAUGGUUAUUAUACCCAUUACAACUACUGUCACAUUUCCUUUUUUACAUCUUCCUAAACUUGUGCUGAGACAGUAAUUUUUUUUAUUAUUAUUAACAUGGAACUUUUUCCCGGACUCCCAUCAACCAGAGAUGCCCUGAGUGUAGAGAAGACACUGUACAAUACAGGUCCCCGAUGUUCUGUGGGAUGUGCUUGCUGCAGAGCCCCAGUGCAAGCGGAAUUCAUCAUCCAAAACCCCAAACACGAUAAAGCCUCCUCUAAGGACAUUGAAAGUGCAUUCUAGCAGAUAAGAACUCUGGCCUUUUCUGUUCUGGGAACCUUAAGUAGUCACACCAGCCCAUUACGUCUUAAAUGUUGCCUGUGGCCCGGGAACAAUGAGCCUGAGACCCAGGAGCUGAAGCAGUAGGCAGCCUGCCAAGUUCAACACCCGGCCAGUCUGCAGAGCAGAGCCUGCUGGGGGCUGCUUCCGGCUCUGCCUGAGAUGCGGAGCAAAGAUUUCCAUCCUGGCUUUCCGCAUGCACGUUCCACAGAGAAGGCCUGGACCAGCGAUGACCUGCUUUGACAUUUUCCAUGACGCCCUUUAUUUUGUUUUGUUUUCUGUUUGAUAGUGUAACUUCGGGUUUCUUUUUUUGUAACAAUCACUUGGCAAGGAUUACUCUUAGAUGUCAUGGGGGAGUCACCAGAUGCAGCUGGAUUCUCCCUUGGGCAGAUGCCUCGUAAAUGGGGCUUCAUGGGAAUUUACUGGAUUAUUUGUGAAGGAACCCUUUGUUGCACAGCCGUUGGUCAAGACUGGCCCUUGCUUGUGGAAUUGAAAGAAGCUGCAGUGGAGCCUUAUGACAAUGUAUUAUCAUAAGGGAUUAAAAAUUAUAUUAAAAAAAUGGAAAUCCGGGGGACUGGAGAGAUGGCUCGGUGGUUAAGAGCUCUUCACUGCUCUAGUGGAGCCUUCUGUUAACCUCCAGCUCCUAGAGCCCUGCCACCCUGUUCUUAACUCUGUGGAUACCUGCACUCACCUACACACAUAUACAGAUACAUAUACACAGAUAUUUAAAAGUAAAUCUUAGAAAAUGAAACUACAUAUUGCUUUAUCUCCAUUUUUAAAAAUCCUUAUAAAGUGCUGUGUUUCUCUCUUGCAUUUGCCUUCAUUGGAGACUCAUAACGAGUAUUUAAAGCAACCAAACUCAACCGCUAACGACUGCCUUCUUUAGUGCACUUGGUGGCAAAUGACCUGUAUUGAGCAUCCGGUAGAUCAGUUUUUCAUCCAGUUCUUAACCCACAUCAGUGUGUUUUCAUGUUGGAGGACAUACAGGGGCAUGUCCCUACUGUGUGGCAGGCAGUCUCCAAUACAUUGUCCUCUGGAAGGAGGGGGGGUGGUAGAGGUUAAGAUCAGUUUGGACCUUUUGGACCUUGCCUAAUUUCUUUUAUGCAUGCAUAACAUGGAUUCCACUUGGUUUGUGGCAAUGCUCCAGGCCUGCCCAGGGUGCUUACUAACAAGACUUUAUUUCCACUGGGACAUGUUUGGUAUAUUUCCAGAAAGUUCUUUACUAUGAAGACUCAGUGAGUUUUCUGGGAGACAUGAUUGUUGACUUUCACCAGGAGCCAAAGCCUCCUCCUUCUGUUGCCUGAGCUUGGAAAAGAGGUAGUAUGAUUCUGCCUUAAAACAUGAGUAGGACUUGUGCCUAUGCAGUUUAAAUGAUAUUUUAUUGACUGUUUUAUUUAUCACUCCAUUUUCUAAACUACUGCAUAGAUGCAUUGGCUGGUAUCAAAACAUGUUUGCCCAAGACUAUUGAAGAGCCCACAUGUUUAUCAGUAGAGGAAUCCUCACUCUAAUACGCCUAUACAAUGGAAUAUUAUACAGAUAUAAAGAGAAGUGAAGAGUGAUUUAUUCAUAUGCCGCUAUGGAAGAUUAUUAGAAUGUGUUGUUAAUAUUUAAAGAUGUGAUUAUAAAAAUUCAAAAUGAAAUGAAAGAACUAAACCUAAUUUUGCAUUAAGUUGAUGACAAAUCCACUCAGGGAAGAAACUUUUCAAGUGACCUUAGACCAUGAGAAUUAAACUGAGUGUGGUGGUACAUGCCUUUGGUCCCAGAAUUUAGGAGAUGGAAACAGGAAGGAAGAUCAGAAGUUCAAGAUCAGCCCAGGCUAGUUGGGACCCUGGCUCAAAAAAGCAACAACAGCAUAAAUAAGUAAAACAAGAUUAAUAAAUAAAUAAACAAAUAACAAAAAUGAGAUCCUAAGUAUGGGUUAUGUUCUUAGAACAAAAGGGAAAUAACAAUAAUAAAAACUGCACAAAGUUUCAAUCCUUUCCAGUAAUUAUAUUAUUCAAAGUGUUACUUUUGUUCUUGAGACUGUUGGAUGCGUUUCAUGGGGUAAAACAUGUAAUGAGCAUCCUAUGAGCAGGGAUUCUGAGAAGGGUGGAGGUGGACCUGAGGUCCAGGAAAAACAGAGUGACUGCAGCCCACAGCGGGUGUCUAUUAGCCCUCUCACCUCUCUAUAUUGUCAUCCCCUUCCCAGAUGCUGGGACCUAAGAAAUUGUAUGUGUGAAGAUUGAGGGAGUAGAAAUCUACCCUGAAGAUCUCAUAUUAUUGGCAAAAACAGAUUUUAUUGUGAAAACAAAGCAAGUUUAUUAGAAACCUUUGCUUGCUUGUUUUUUGUUUUUUGUUUUUAAUUUCAAGUAGAAAAUUUGUCUGGGAUGUGGCUCUGUAGCUGUCUUGCUGAGAGUUUAUCUGCAAAGAGGUGUUCCUUGCUAUGCACUCUCUACAACCCACCACUUCCUCCUGCAUCCUCGGGACUGGGCUCAGUUUGGCUCUACAUUGCCCCAUGGGGGGGGUAUAUUUAGGAGGUGACUGCAGCUAAGUUUGCUUGCCUUGCAAGGGUGGGUGCUCUUCCUGAGUAAGGCGCCGUGAUUGAAUUUAUAUAUUUUUAUGGCUGCAGGCUUAUUUCCUGAUUUUCCAGAGUUAAAGAAAUGAUUCAAAAUAAUAAACUUCCUUCUCUUCUUUUGAUUGAAUCUGUGGUGGUAAUAAAAUAAAGAACAGCUGGGCAGGGUGUCAGCAACGACUAACUUCUGGCCUACUGUGGAUGACAAUAACCCCUCUACUGCAAGAAAAUGAAGCCUUCUUUGUGGCAGACACUCACCUAACCCUUGCAUUGUCCAUGAUGACCCAUAGAGUGUUAAGCCCACAGACUUGAGACCAGGAGAUGCAAUCCAGUAGCAGAAUGCCUCAGCUAUGUGGUCUCACUUGUACUCCACUCUGCAGGCUCCAUGGAUACCACUGUAUCUGAAGAAAAUGUUUAUAGAAAAAGAGGUGCCUGAUCACAAAUUUAUAUGCUCUUUCCUUCUCGCUGUUCCUGAAACAGAAAUGGCUUGCAUUUUCAUCGUUUUCACUGGUCAUCCAGAAAGGGCGUAAAGCACGUGGUGGGAUAUACAUGGUUGCAUGCAGAGACUUAAACAACUAAGGACUUGCUGGCUGUAAGGAGCCAGGGAACCUGUCCCUCAGCCACCGAGGUCCCUGGGAGCAAACUCAGGUUGUGAGACUUGGCAGCAAGCACAUUUAUCCACUGAGCCUUCUCACUGACCAAGAGAACUCUCUCAAAGAUGUCUUUAUAAUACUGACAGAAUUUUUGGCAUGGCUCUUUGCCCCAGCAUCCCUGUACCUGGCAGCCUCGUACAUCAAUGGCAAUCUCCCUGUCUUCAAUUCAAGAACAUCGUCCAGCUUUGAGUUCCUCUGCACAGGUUUAAGAUAGCAUCAGAGAAGUGUUGUGAAACCAAUGCCCCUCCCCUGAAGAUGACCGUGGAGCAAAGUGCUAAGGCAAUGUAGAUGUCAGAAUGCUUCCAUAAAAGUGACCUGCAUGCCGGACCAGUUCGGCCGCGGGUCCUGAACACUGAACACCCAGAGGCAGCCCACCUCCAUCCACUGGCCCAGGACCCUGCACGUCAGAACACUGCCAACACACAGGGAGCAGUGACACCUCCAUUCACGAAAAGAGGACCGACAUCAGAGUAUUGGAUCUGUUUGUAUCUACCAGAAGAGAACCUUUGUCCCACACCCACCAGGAGAACAAGAAACUCUUGCUACACUCACCAGAAGAAAGGAUGGGAAGAGGACAAGGUAAAAACACAUCCAACAACAGAAAACCCAAUAUGACACCACCGGAGACUAGGAACCAUACACCAGUAAGACCUCAACAUCACGAUGCAGAUGAACUAGAACAUCUUCAGGAAAAUGAUAGAGGAUCUCAAAGAGGACAUGAGAAAAUCCCUUAAAGAAAUUGAAGAAAAAAAAACUAACCAAAAAAUACAAGAUAUAAAUCUUCAAGUAAAUCAAUAUCAGUCUCUCAAGGAAACAGUUCAAGAACUAAAAACUGAGAGACAAUGAAGAACCUAGAAAUGAUGAACUUAUGGGAACAGAGAGCAGAAUUGUGGCUAUUAGGCUUCAAUGUGGGUCUUUUAACAAUGGGGAAACGAUUGGUUUAAGGAUAUAAAACUGCAGUUGGGCAAGAGGCAUGGACUCUGUGAUGUCUUGAGGUCUAUUGAGAGCAUGAUAAAUAUGGUUGAUAACAAUAUGCUAUAUUUUAAAAGUUGUGAGAUAGUAUACUUUAAGUGUUCUCAAAACAAAAAUGAUGAAUAUGUGUGAUAUAACAUGUUAACUGGUUUAAUUUAGC
rnacentral:lncRNA from 1 species